AUUUUCUGUCUUGUGUUCUAGUAAGGCUGUUUGAAGAGAAAGAAGACAAGCAUUGGGAUUUUGUGUGACCUACUGUGACAGGGUAAGAACUUCCUGUUCACAAAGUACCUCCUUUGGCUCCUGUGGUGUAAAACUACAUGUACCUCCGGCUACAUGGAAAAUAUUGCAAAAUAAUUAAAAUUCAAGAAGCCUGGAUUUAUUUGAAGUAACACCAACAGAGAUUUGGGAUGACUCCAUUAACAGCACUGCAGUCAUGCUGUUACUAAAAGGAUAUCUAAAGGUGAGACAUUCUCUAGGGCCUAGACAGUAAUCUGGGCUACAUUUUUAAGUGGGGAUCAGAUCCUUGCACAUACCUUCCUUGUCUUUCAUGGUUAUUUAAAUUUAGACCAACUUAAUAUGUGGUUCAGUGAUUUUCAUACUCCAAAAGGAAUGAAUUGAAAUAACAGAGUAGGUUUCCUCAGAUAACUGAGGAAAUGUGUGUGUAGGCAUGAUCCAUUUUGUGGUGUUAUUCUGAGUAUAAAAGGAUAAAGUAAAUCUAAACUAUUUUUAGGUCCAAUGAGUCAGUCUAAAUGAGUUGAUGGAAAAAUAUAUAAAUGAAAGGCCAGUCCAGUUAGAGGAAGUUAUGGAGAGUAAUGCUUUUAUAUAAACAUUCUACAGAAUUCAUUUGGCUUUUCAAACUCUGUCUAUAAAUCAAGAAGUGCUUUCCAGUAGCUCAUGGAAACCUCUCAAGUCACAUGGUGCUAGCUAUCUACUUUUAGUUCAAUUCCACUGAAAACAGAAU
rnacentral:lncRNA from 1 species